GACUUGAGAAAAUAAAGUAUAUCCAUACUCUUCACUCUCCCUUUAGAGUGAGAUAAAUCGUGUUUGUGGUUAAGUGUCAAAAUUAAUUGUGUAAAUAUAUAAAAGAAAACUCAACGUGGUGGAAGAUGGGCAACAGGUCUUUGUUUUAGUUUCUGAGGAACAUCAAAGAAAAGGUGCAGGAUAUAUUCUCGGAAUGCAACUAUGCUUGUAAUUAUUGUAUCUAUGAAUAUAAUAUGCAUUCAGAAACAGGGGAAACUGGAUGGAUGGAUCGAGGAUCACAUAAUGUUGCUGGAUAGGUUGAGGGGGUGUGUAUGAUCACCUCCUCCCUACACUUAUGUAUGAUGAUAGUAGAUUAGUUAUGGCAUGAGUAGUUAGUUUAUAUUUAAGUUAUUAUUAUUAAGUUUUAUUUUAAUUAUGAUGGUAGUUAGAUAUGUGCAUGUUAGUUUUUAAGUAUGAAUUUUAAUGAUAAAAAUGCCGCCAUUGCCACGUUACAAAGUAAGGAUACAUUAAAGCGAUACCGUAUUGGAUUAACCCUGAAUUGAUCAACUUUUUUCAUUGAUAACACCUGAAAACUUACCUGACAAUUUUUGUUACUAUGUCUGGGGUGCUCGCCGCCCAUGGAUUCUAGCUGUUCUCUCUCUCUCAAUACCUACACCACACACACUCACACAAUACGCACAUGGUCAUUCUUCACAAAUAGAAAAAAAAAAUGUGUUUAUUAUGGCUUUUUUUUGUGUU